UGUAUGGUUAAGUGACUAAGCGUACACGGUGGAUGCCUGGGCAGUCAGAGGCGAUGAAGGACGUACUAACUUGCGAUAAGCGCAGAUAAGGCAGUAAGAGCCGUUUGAGUCUGCGAUUUCCGAAUGGGGAAACCCAACUGCAUAAGCAGUUACUGUUAACUGAAUACAUAGGUUAACAGAGCAAACCGGGGGAACUGAAACAUCUAAGUACCCCGAGGAGAAGAAAUCAACCGAGAUUCCGGUAGUAGCGGCGAGCGAACCUGGAUUAGCCCUUAAGCACUCGGUGAAGUAGGUGAACAAGCUGGAAAGCUUGGCGAUACAGGGUGAUAGCCCCGUAACCGACGCUUCAUCGAGCGUGAAAUCGAGUAGGGCGGGACACGUGAUAUCCUGUCUGAAUAUGGGGGGACCAUCCUCCAAGGCUAAAUACUCCUGACUGACCGAUAGUGAACCAGUACCGUGAGGGAAAGGCGAAAAGAACCCCUGUGAGGGGAGUGAAAUAGAACCUGAAACCGUGUACGUACAAGCAGUAGGAGCACCUUCGUGGUGUGACUGCGUACCUUUUGUAUAAUGGGUCAGCGACUUAUAUUCAGUGGCAAGGUUAACCGUAUAGGGGAGCCGUAGCGAAAGCGAGUCUUAACUGGGCGCUCAGUCUCUGGAUAUAGACCCGAAACCGGGUGAUCUAGCCAUGGGCAGGUUGAAGGUUGAGUAACAUCAACUGGAGGACCGAACCGACUAAUGUUGAAAAAUUAGCGGAUGACUUGUGGCUAGGGGUGAAAGGCCAAUCAAACUCGGAGAUAGCUGGUUCUCCCCGAAAGCUAUUUAGGUAGCGCCUCGGACGAAUACUACUGGGGGUAGAGCACUGUUAAGGCUAGGGGGUCAUCCCGACUUACCAACCCUUUGCAAACUCCGAAUACCAGUAAGUACUAUCCGGGAGACACACGGCGGGUGCUAACGUCCGUCGUGGAGAGGGAAACAACCCAGACCGCCAGCUAAGGUCCCAAAGUAUUGCUAAGUGGGAAACGAUGUGGGAAGGCUCAGACAGCUAGGAUGUUGGCUUAGAAGCAGCCAUCAUUUAAAGAAAGCGUAAUAGCUCACUAGUCGAGUCGGCCUGCGCGGAAGAUGUAACGGGGCUAAGCAAUACACCGAAGCUGCGGCAAUAUCUUUUAGAUAUUGGGUAGGGGAGCGUUCUGUAAGCCGUUGAAGGUGAAUCGUAAGGUUUGCUGGAGGUAUCAGAAGUGCGAAUGCUGACAUGAGUAACGACAAAGGGGGUGAAAAACCUCCUCGCCGGAAGACCAAGGGUUCCUGUCCAACGUUAAUCGGGGCAGGGUGAGUCGACCCCUAAGGUGAGGCCGAAAGGCGUAAUCGAUGGGAAACGGGUUAAUAUUCCCGUACUUCUGACUAUUGCGAUGGGGGGACGGAGAAGGCUAGGUGGGCCAGGCGACGGUUGUCCUGGUUCAAGUGCGUAGGCUUGAGA
rnacentral:rRNA from 1 species